rnacentral:rRNA from 1 species
GAAAGUAAGUAAGGGCGUAUGGGGGAUGCCUAGGCUCUUGGAGGCUAAGAAGGACGUGGUAAGCUGCGAAAAGCUGCGGGGAUUUGCAAACGAGACUCGAUCCGCAGAUAUCCGAAUGGGACAACCCGGCAGGUAGAAGACCUGUCACACCGCGAGGUGAGCUAACCCUCUGAACUGAAACAUCUAAGUAGGAGGAGGAAAAGAAAGAAACAUCGAUUUCCAAAGUAGCGGCGAGCGAAAUGGAAGAAGCCCAAACCGAUAUUGUUACGGCAAUAUCGGGGUUGUAGGACUGCAAUAUUCAAUUAACAAUGAACUGGAAUGGUCUGGAAAGUCCAUCCAUAGAGAGUGAAAGGCUCGUACAGGUAAGUUUGUUAUGCGAAAGCAGUAUCCUGAGUAUGGCGGGACACGAGGAAUCCUGUCAGAAUCAGCCGGGACCACCCGGUAAGGCUAAAUACUCCCAAGAGACCGAUAGUGGACCAGUACUGUGAAGGAAAGGUGAAAAGAACCCCGAACAGGGGAGUGAAAUAGAACCUGAAACCAUACGCUUACAACCGGUCGGAGCAGCUUCGUGCUGUGACGGCGUGCCUAUUGAAUAAUGAGCCUACGAGUUACUAAUCACUAGCGAGGUUAAGUGCAAGGAUGCACGGAGCCGAAGCGAAAGCGAGUCUGAACAGGGCGUUUAGUUAGUGGUUGUAGACGCGAAACCUUGCGAUCUACCCUUGAGCAGGUUGAAGGUUGGGUAAAACCAACUGGAGGACCGAACGAAUAAGCGUUGAAAAGCUUCUCGAUGACUUGAGGGUAGGGGUGAAAGGCUAAUCAAGCUGGGAAAUAGCUCGUACUCCCCGAAAUGCCUUUUGGGGCAGCGUUGUAAUAAAGAGUCUACUGGAGGUAGAGCUACUGAUUGGAUGCGGGGGCUUCACCGCCUACCAAAUCCUGACAAACUCCGAAUGCCAGUAGUAUGAUUUACAGCAGUGAGUGACUGGGUGCUAAUGUCCAGUCGCAAAAGAGGAACAACUCAGACCAGCAACUAAGGUCCCGAAGAAUAUGCUAAGUUGAUCUAACGAUGUUUUGUUGCAGAGACAGCUAGGAUGUUAGCUUGGAAGCAGCUAUUCAUUCAAAGAGUGCGUAACAGCUCACUAGUCGAGCGACAGAGCGUGGAUAAUAAACGGGCAUCAAGCAUAUCACCGAAGUUCUGGGCGCGAGAGCGCGGUAGGGGAGCAUUCCAUUCAGCGUCGAAGCAGUUUCGUGAGGAAUUGUGGAGCGUAUGGAAAAGCAAAUGUAGGCAUGAGUAACGAUAAUGCGGGAGAGUAACCCGCACACCGCAAGACCAAGGUUUCCUGAUCAACGCUAAUCGGAUCAGGGUUAGUCGGGUCCUAAGGGUAAGCCGAACGGCGAUCUCGAUGGAUAAUCGGUUAAUAUUCCGAUACUAACAUAUACCUCGAUGGAGAGACGAAGGAACGUAAGUGCCGCCACCUGACGGAAUAGGUGGUUAAAGGGCGUAGGUAUAGGGGCAGAUUAAGAGUUAGUCCUUGCUGAAACCUGACAGUACAGAGAGCCUACGGGCAAUUUGAUAGUGCACCCAAGUCGACUUCCGAGAAAAUCUUCUAAGUUAUAGUAUAUGUUACCCGUACCGUAAACCGACACAGGUGGUCGAGGAGAGUAUCCUAAGGUGCUCGAGUGAAUCACGGUUAAGGAACUAGGCAAAUUAACCCCGUAACUUCGGGAAAAGGGGUCCCUAUGAAAGUAGGGCGCAGCGAAGAGGUCCAGGCGACUGUUUAUCAAAAACACAGGGCUCUGCAAAUUCGAAAGAAGACGUAUAGGGCCUGACACCUGCCCGGUGCUGGAAGGUUAAGAGGGGAUGUCAUCGCAAGAGAAGCAUUGAAUCGAAGCCCCAGUAAACGGCGGCCGUAACUAUAACGGUCCUAAGGUAGCGAAAUUCCUUGUCGGGUAAGUUCCGACCUG